GAGAGAGAGAGAGAGAGAUUGAAAUUGUGUAAUCUGUAUUCAAUGAAUCCCAUCGGUUACAACUUCAGUCUUUAUAUAGACUUCACAAUUAUUCCUGCCACUUCGUGUUAUGAAUCCGUUAAAAUUAACAACUAUUAACAGAAACUAACUCUCUUGCUUCCUACCUUCACAUAUCAGGUGGAGAAGCAAUUUUGCUAGGAUUUAUAUUGCAUUAUGCUAGUUCUUUUAUGUUUUUUAAGCUAUGGUUGAUAAACUGUUUGUAAUUUUUGCAUCGAUUGACCAUGAUAAGAACUUCUUUAUCGGAGAUACGAGUGCCCAUUUUUCCUCCCAUUUAUUUAUAGUGAGAGAAGGUUGCGGUUUCCCCACUCGAAGGAAUUGGUGGAUCUCUCAGGCGCAUACUGCACGGGGAAGUG
rnacentral:misc_RNA from 1 species